rnacentral:rRNA from 1 species
AACACAUGCAAGUCGAACGGGCGUAGCAAUACGUCAGUGGCAGACGGGUGAGUAACACGUGGGAACGUACCUCUUGGUUCGGAACAACACAGGGAAACUUGUGCUAAUACCGGAUAAGCCCUUACGGGGAAAGAUUUAUCGCCGAGAGAUCGGCCCGCGUCUGAUUAGCUAGUUGGUAGGGUAAUGACCUACCAAGGCGACGAUCAGUAGCUGGUCUGAGAGGAUGAUCAGCCACAUUGGGACUGAGACACGGCCCAAACUCCUACGGGAGGCAGCAGUGGGGAAUAUUGGACAAUGGGGGCAACCCUGAUCCAGCCAUGCCGCGUGAGUGAUGAAGGCCCUAGGGUUGUAAAGCUCUUUUGUGCGGGAAGAUAAUGACGGUACCGCAAGAAUAAGCCCCGGCUAACUUCGUGCCAGCCGCCGCGGUAAUAC